AGCGCACAGCACACACGCUGUUGUGAGAGUUCCGUGCUCAUUUCCUUGUGGAUACACCAGGAACUCACUCUGCUGUGACCCUUCAGUACACCUCAUGUUAGGAUUAGAGACAUCUGGGUCAUAUCAGCUGCCACUGUCAUCUUCUAGUCCCUCAAAGUGUCAGCUAAAGAAACAGGCUCAGAGGAUGUUAUUUGAUUGGACUAUGUUGUAUCUCUGGAGAGCACAGCUGAGAUCAGACUGUGUGUGUGUAACUCCACUAGACUACGAGGGUGCUUCUCAUAAAGGGUUGCAAGAUCAUAGUUCUCGGGGUGUUUAAAGGCAACACCUUCCGGAAGCCCCUGCACUACCACAGCCGACUGGUCUCGCAGCAUCUUCUCAUAUGGUACAGGUACCACUGUGGAUUUGCCUAAAGCUUUCCCUGGGGCAGAUGAAAAGCGGAUGAACAUCAUUCAAUGUGCAGGCCUACCCAACUAUGGAAUGAUGGAACAGAAGGCCUCACCAUGGACUCGAGAGCUGACAUGAGGAAUGUCACCACCAUCCUGCUCUCCGAGGACUCCUCAUCUUCAACGGGGAGGGUGGACAUUGCAACUUGGGCCAUGAUCCCUGUGCAGGAGAAGUAAGAAGAAAGUGAGUGGUAGAAAUCUGGUGUCCUGAACCCACAGCCAAAGCUGUGAGGGCCCCUCACCGGCUGCCUAAUUUACAGUUUUCUUGCUCUAGAGACAAAAUAAGGCUCAGAAACUAAGUAUUUGACUUGCCCAAACCCUCAUAAGAUAAAGAAUCUAUCCCCUAAUUUUCUAUAUAUUGUUAUUUCCAGAAAAUUGGGUCAAUAUCACACCCCAAAUAAAUCCAGGUGGCACCCAGAA
rnacentral:lncRNA from 1 species